CAAUGCUGCCGUAUUUGAAAUUAUUUAUUUAUUUUUGUUGUGUUCAUACUAUUAUGUUCCAUUGAAGGCUGGAUAAUGAUCUCGCAUAGAAAAUAUACAUUAAAGCCAACGUAACUCGAAAAGUCAUUGCUCCUUUUGCUGAACAGACGAGAUUUGAUAAAAUUUUGAUAUAUUCAAAACAGGUUGGGUACAGUCCAGAUUAACUAUUCCUUCGUUCAGAUCCUCAAGGAGCUGUUAACUUUGUGGUAAUGAUGUCUCAAAUGGAGGGAGGUUGUUAAGUUGAUUACAAUACCGUAACAGAUCUCUUUCUUCAGGUUUUCCAUGUCGGUUGAUGUGCUUUUAGUAUUGUAGCAACGAACUUGUAAAGAUUGAUGACGGAAGAUACUUGUUAUGUUUAUGUAUUUUAUAGAGCGAGGUAAACGUCUUAAAUUUUUUUUUUAUUGAUCUAUUUUGUAUUCUUUGAGGCAUUAUUUUUGCAAUGCAUAUUAUGAGAAACUUUUUUUUGACAGUCAAUUACUGCUAAAAGUAAUAUCUUAGCAAAAAAUUUUCUAUAUUUUUUUUAUUUUAAGUUUUUUACCUCCUCCUCCUCCCAUCGAAUCUCCUCUUCUCCAGUCUUUCGCUCCUUCACUUUUUCUCCUCUCUUCCACCUC